UACAGAGGUCUCAAGCGUUGUUCGGAUUCAUUGGGCGUAAAGGGUGCGUAGGUGGCGCGGUAAGUCGGGUGUGAAAUCUCGGAGCUUAACUCCGAAAUUGCAUUCGAUACUGCCGUGCUUGAGGACUGGAGAGGAGACUGGAAUUCAUGGUGUAGCAGUGAAAUGCGUAGAUAUCAAGUGGAACACCAGUGGCGAAGGCGAGUCCCUGGACAACUCCUGACACUGAGGCACGAAAGCUAGGGGAGCAAACAGG
rnacentral:rRNA from 1 species